rnacentral:rRNA from 1 species
AUACGGAGGGUCCAAGCGUUAUCCGGAAUCAUUGGGUUUAAAGGGUGCGCAGGCGGUUUAUUAAGUCAGUGGUGAAAUCUCGGGGCUCAACUCCGAAACUGCCAUUGAUACUGAUAAACUUGAGUUCAGUUGGAGUAGGCGGAAUGUGUAGUGUAGCGGUGAAAUGCUUAGAUAUUACACAGAACACCGAUAGCGAAGGCAGCUUACUAAACUGAUACUGACGCUGAGGCACGAAAGCGUGGGGAGCGAACAGGAUUAGAAACCCCAGUAGUCC